rnacentral:rRNA from 1 species
GUGGGGUAACGGCCUACCAAGGCGACGAUACGUAGCCGACCUGAGAGGGUGAUCGGCCACACUGGAACUGAGACACGGUCCAGACUCCUACGGGAGGCAGCAGUAGGGAAUCUUCCGCAAUGGGCGAAAGCCUGACGGAGCAACGCCGCGUGAGUGAUGAAGGUCUUCGGAUCGUAAAGCUCUGUUGUUAGGGAAGAACAAAUGUGUAAGUAACUGUGCACAUCUUGACGGUACCUAACCAGAAAGCCACGGCUAACUACGUGCCAGCAGCCGCGGUAAUACGUAGGUGGCAAGCGUUAUCCGGAAUUAUUGGGCGUAAAGCGCGCGUAGGCGGUUUUUUAAGUCUGAUGUGAAAGCCCACGGCUCAACCGUGGAGGGUCAUUGGAAACUGGAAAACUUGAGUGCAGAAGAGGAAAGUGGAAUUCCAUGUGUAGCGGUGAAAUGCGCAGAGAUAUGGAGGAACACCAGUGGCGAAGGCGGCUUUCUGGUCUGCAACUGACGCUGAUGUGCGAAAGCGUGGGGAUCAAACAGGAUUAGAUACCCUGGUAGUCCACGCCGUAAACGA